UGGGGAAUAUUGGACAAUGGGCGAAAGCCUGAUCCAGCCAUGCCGCGUGUGUGAAGAAGGUCUUCGGAUUGUAAAGCACUUUAAGUUGGGAGGAAGGGCAGUAAGCGAAUACCUUGCUGUUUUGACGUUACCGACAGAAUAAGCACCGGCUAACUCUGAGCCAGCAGCCGCGGUAAUACAGAGGGUGCAAGCGUUAAUCGGAAUUACUGGGCGUAAAGCGCGCGUAGGUGGUUCGUUAAGUUGAAUGUGAAAGCCCCGGGCUCAACCUGGGAACUGCAUCCAAAACUGGCGAGCUAGAGUAGGGCAGAGGGUGGUGGAAUUUCCUGUGUAGCGGUGAAAUGCGUAGAUAUAGGAAGGAACACCAGUGGCGAAGGCGACCACCUGGGCUCAUACUGACACUGAGGUGCGAAAGCGUGGGGAGCAAACAGG
rnacentral:rRNA from 1 species